CUUAACAAUUUUUAAGUAGAAUUUUAAAAAUUGUUAGGUGCAAAAUAGUAUACUAUAGAGCAAAGAUUCCCAAAGUAGGAAACUACUUUUGACUAGGGGUCGACAUAAACAAGAACUGAUUUUGGGGGUCGACAAGGUCUAAAAAUCGACCCCUAUUAUAUUAACACAAGUUCUUACUUACAACUUUCAACAUAGAUAGGUAGGUACUGUAUUCGUUAUGUUGUGUUCCGUGUACUAAGAAUAAUUAAAAUUUUUGUAGGAAGUAGCAUUGGUGUUGUGAUGUAAAGUCUCAAGUUCGUACAAGAUGAAAAACCCGGUAAGUCUGUGUGGAGAAGUUUGUUCAAGAUAAUGAGUUCGAACGUACGUCUGCUCUCUAUUUAACGUUAACGCAGUUUAACAGGAACGAAUUCAUAAUCAAGUCCAAGCAUGUUCUUAAUAUUUUACUUUUUAACGAGCUUGCACUUAGGUUGAAAGGUUGUUUGCGUUUUCACAUUCGUUGGAGCCUGAACGAUAAUAGCUCAGAGAGACGUAAACUCUCAGUAUUCCAUGGGUUCACCGUGUGGGUACCGGGUUCAUCGCGUUGCAGGGAGAGGAGCUUCAACAGGACUUGCGACCCAGGUGUAAUUUCAAGAGGCCCCUACCUAGCGGAUACGAAAAAAAUGCAGAUAAUACAAUUAGGACUACUUGAAGUUCGGAUUUAUUGCAUCUCCUUCAAAUCAACACUUGCCGAUGUGGCUUAUAUGUGAAAAGUAUUUAGUAACGAUGACAUGAAACCUUCAAAAAUGGAUGUCAACUUAUCACGAGACAAAAAAAGUAAGCCCUUGUUAUUUUUUUAAGCACUUAGAGAAAAAUAGACAAAAGUCCAUAAGGUCGAUGUUUGCGUCAUCUAUUAAAGACGAUGAUGGUUUACGAGCGUCCUAUAAUACAUCUUCACUAAUAGCGAAAACAGGCAGAAAUUGGAGAGCAGCUUAUCUUACCAGCCAUUGCGGAGGUCCUUAACGUUGUAUUUCAAAAACCCGCACAAGAUAUUUUAAAGGGAAUACCUUUGAGCAAUAACACUGUUCAGAGGUACAUAGACGAGAUGAGACGCAAUAUGGAAAAUGAAGUCAACUUUACUCACUUAAAAUAGUGCAAAAUUUUUCAAUUGUUACCUCAGUACCUAGGUAUUGUGUAUCAAUAAGAAAAAACUAAUGAUUUAACUUAGAACAUAGUGAUUUUCGUUCUGUCUUCUUCUAUUUACCUAAGUCAGGAUGAAAAGUAACAGUCUAUAGCAGCUGUUUCAGCAGGCGUUAUCGAACUAUUAUGAAUAAGGGGGUUGAACUUAAAAGUAGGUAAUUUGGCCAUUGGGGUCUGAGAUUAAUUUUAGAAAAUUGGUCACUCGUCCCAAAAAGAUUGGAGAUCCCUGCUAUAGAAGACAUGACAUGUAUAAAAAUGAAAUAUUUUUUUCUUAAAUGCUUGGAGCACUGAAAGUCUUUCAAAUUAGCUCUCAUUUUUUAAAUAGGAGUAUGUAUGGUUUUCGGUUUUAGUAUGCUGUUCACUAUCCUAGAUUUAACGUAGAUAUCAUAUACGUAAACGAAGUUCCCCAGUACAUAUAUAAUUCACCAAUUGUUUUCAUAUAAAACCUCUUGCUUUCAAAAUAUUACUUUUCCUUUCUGUAGGCACUGCCCAAUGACUAUACAUCAGUUCCAUCAGUCAUCAGUACGUGCCCUGCUCAGUUUAUCAUAAAUUCUUGUUUUAUGAUUUUUUCGAGAUAUAUUUUUAUUAUCUGCAUUUAUAUAAUUAAUAAUAAAAA